rnacentral:rRNA from 1 species
UACGAGGGGGGCUAGCGUUGUUCGGAAUCACUGGGCGUAAAGGGCGCGUAGGCGGCUUUGUAAGUCGGGGGUGAAAGCCUGUGGCUCAACCACAGAAUUGCCUUCGAUACUGUAGAGCUUGAGACCGGAAGAGGUUAGUGGAACUGCGAGUGUAGAGGUGAAAUUCGUAGAUAUUCGCAAGAACACCAGUGGCGAAGGCGGCUGACUGGUCCGGUUCUGACGCUGAGGCGCGAAAGCGUGGGGAGCAAACAGG